AUAGCAUUGUUUUUUAGGUUUCACUGUACAUUUUCAUACCAAUAGAAUUACACAUCAUUCUAAUUAUAGCAAUAAUAAAUUUGUACUAAUCAUACCUACAAAUUUUGUUAUGCUAUGCUUUGUGAUGUAUUAACUUCAUUGUAAGUUAUUAUUUAAAGACAAUUUUACUAAAUAUUUAAAACAAUACUUGAAUUAUUUUCUAUAUACAUUUUCAUUAUGUGCUUUAACUGUAGCUGACCAGUUGAUGGAAGAUACUGCAGAGUUUGGCAGGGAAAUAACCCAAGACAGCAAAGCGGCUCUUUUGGCGCAUUUACCAAGAGGACUAACAUGGCCACAAAUUCAUGAGAUCAUGCAGGAGCCGUACAGUAUAACAGCAGUACAAGUUCUAUAAAAGAUCCACGACCUACUGAAGCCCAGCUAAUUAACAAAAAAGUUUUUAAAAACUGUAAUUUUAUCCCACCUGGGUACUUAUAAUUUACUAACUGUCACUUGGAAAGUAAUACAUGUACAUGCAUUCAUGUUCUGAAUUUCUUUGAACAAUAAAAUUAUAUAAAAGUAUUUUAAUGAAAUUGAGCACCUAAAUUGCAUUAAAGUGAAAGUAGCUGAGAAAAAUAGUAUCCUUAAUUGUUCUCAUGGGCAGCUACAUAUAUUGUGACAAACAUGAAGUAGCUAAAAUAACUUAAAUUUUUCAUUUUGUUUCUUGUAUAUCGUUUGUACAGGGUUCGUGAAUUGUUACUGUAUAUUACUUGACUUGCUUGUAUUUUGUUACUUUGAAUACAUGUUGUUAAGGUUGCAUUAUACUUUUUAACUUUUAAAGUAGCGCCUGUUCUGUUAUGUAAGGGCCUGAUUUAUGAUAAUGGACCUAGAGGCUUUGUAAGCAUGUAUUAAACAACACUUGUUUGAUCUGAAUAAUUUGUUAAAUAAAUGUAACACAAUUUGUAAUCUGAUGUUAUAUUUUGAUGAAUUGUGAACAAAAUAAUACAUCGAAGAAACUAA